ACGUAGGGGGCGAGCGUUAUCCGGAAUCAUUGGGCGUAAAGCGCGUGUAGGCGGCCAUCCAAGUGCGAUGUGAAAGGUCAUGGCUCAACCAUGAGUAUGCAUUGGAAACUGUAUAGCUAGAGUCCGGAAGAGGAGACUGGAAUUCCUGGUGUAGCGGUGAAAUGCGCAGAUAUCAGGAAGAACACCGGUGGCGAAGGCGGGUCUCUGGGACGGUACUGACGCUGAGGCGCGAAAGCGUGGGGAGCAAACAG
rnacentral:rRNA from 1 species